rnacentral:rRNA from 1 species
AAAAUUUAAAAUUAUAAUACUAAAAUAGUAAAUAAUUAUUUGUUGAAACUUAAAUAAUUUGGCGGUAUUUUAGUUCAUUUAGAGGAAUCUGUUUAAUAAUUGAUAUUCCACGAAUAAAUUUACUUAAUUUAUAAUUUUGUAUAUCGUUGUUGUAAAAAUAUUUUUUAAUAAAAUUAAUAUUUUAAAUUUAAUAUAUAAAUUUAAAUCAGAUCAAGAUGCAGAUUAUAAUUAAGAAUAUAAUGGAUUACAAUGAAUUUAUUUAGAUGGAUUUUAAUUUGUAAAAAUUAAUUGAAAGUGGAUUUAAAUGUAAUUUUAUUUAAUUUAAUAAAAUGAUUAAAAAUUAAAAUAUGU